AACUGUUGAGAUCAUGACCAGAGCCCAAGCCAGAUGCUCAACCGACUGAGCCACCCAGGUGACUCUGUAUUUACUUAGUUUUUAAAUAUGCAACAACGUGAAUCCCGGCUGACUUGUAGGGUGGGUGAUUGGUGUUUUCUUCGUGUAUGUUUCUCAAUUCUUUACAUGAGCAUAUUUAAUAUCCUGGAAGAAAAUAUUUUUUGAAAAGCUUUGGAUUGCACUGGUUAAAAUGUGAUAACUUGAUUGAAAUACAAGUCUGUUAAAUCCAUAAAUACAGAUGCAAGAAAGACAUUUGUAAUUUUCCAGUGACGAGUGGAGAUAUUUGAAACCCCUUGGUGUUUUUUAAGACGGAAUUCUCUUCUACGGAAUUAAGUUCUCUUUGUUUAAAUGUGUUCUUGGCUUUCAAAUUGAAUAGAGUCCCUGGCACAUACCUGUGGUUCUCAUGAUGUAUGUGCAUGUGCUAACUUCAUUUACAGACAGCAGGGAGAGACGGGGCCUCUAAUGCAUCUUUCCCAAUAAAAGGGCGUAGUCAGAAAAAUACUUAGUCUUGAUAGUUUCGUAUAUGAAACUCGGUCACUUACGAUAGGUCCGCACGAAGGACAAGACUAAAGCUGUGGUAAAAUAAUUUAUAAGAUACACGCAGUCAUGUGCUUAUGAAGGAAGUAAUAAAACAGUGAAGACCAUUUAGUUCAGAUUUCCAAACCAGGAAACUGUGAUCUACAUUAGGCAGAGAGCACGUUAAUUCAAUGGAAAGGGUUUUCUUUAACUGAACUAUUUGUAGUGUGGACAGUCGAAAUGAUCUAUCUCUUUGAGCUUGAAACACAAGUUGUGCGUUUUAAGAAGUAAAAGGCAACACAGUGGAAGGGACAGAUAUCGUCAAAUACGGCAAGCGUCGCAGUGAAUGUGGGGGGACAUCACACACCUGCCCCCGUGUGCCUCCCUGUGUUUGCUCACUGAGCCUGGGAAACUGAGACAGAGGUCAUAGUGGACCUCAGCACACCCUGAGCCAUGGGACCACAAGCGGUUUUUCCUCAGGACACAAGCAGCUCCUCGCUACGUGCAGGGGUCCCGAGUGAACGCUGCCCUUGCUUGGUAAGGUGCACAGGGACAGGCAGUCACUACCCUACCGAUGCCUUUGUGUUUGCAAAUUACUUGGGCAACUGGGAACACAAGAGAGAUGGGAUUAGGAAAUGAAGAAAUGCCCACGUGAGGUGGGGCCCCAAGGUUCUGCCUGGCUUCUCCGUGGUCUUUGUUAUUCAAAUAUCCUGUUGUGUAAGUGCAAAGACAGGAAGUGAGUUCUACAAACACUUACAACAACCGCAGUCUUGGGUUUCAGAUAAGUAGGUGUGCCUAGUGCUUCGGGAAUUGAUACAUAUUUAGGUUUUUUUGGUUUGUUUUUUGAAAAUGCUGAAAAGUACUACAUUUUCUCUGGGCAAAACAUCUUUGGUAUUUCAAAAAAGCCCUGACGUUACUGUGUAAAUAGUCUCGUUAAUAACUGCCUCUUGGGCCUGUCCCAGACUUUAAUUGUUUAGCUUUGCGCUUUAUUUGUGUCUCUCUCAAAACACUGCCGUGUGUCUUCGGAGGUGAGAGAGAGGUGGAGCCAGUGAGCAGCACAGAGUAGGCUGUGCAUUGUUUUUGGCCCCGGGGCUGCUGGUUUUCCUGGGGAUCAGACCCCCUGGGCGUGUGUGCCUGGAGGGGGACCCCCUUGCUCUGUCACCCGCGGGGCUGGCUUUCUGCAGAAAGGGUGCUGCGGUGGGAGGGUUUCCUCUGCUGCUCAGUGCCCGCUUCUCUUUCAGGCCCAGGAGCCCAAGAACCCCCAUGUGAGCCUUAUUCACUACUCUGUUCCCAUUUCCGUGCACUGGUUGUAUUUUGGGUUUCAGAGUUUGGAAGUCUAAACAUUUUGCCGCACUGAGGAAUACGCAAGGAUUUUGGUUCAGACUCCAAGUUAGGAAACACCUACGGAGUUUGUGUGUUCCUAAGAAAAACUGGAUGAAAUGAAAUAAAAUGGCAUGUUUUGGGGCGGGGGUAUGGCUGUUAUUCAUUUUAUCAACACACCGUAUUUUAAGUGAGCCUCCCAGGUCGUAGGAUUGGGAAGCGGCCCUCCUGAUUGUCCUGAAUGAAACCUUGAACUGAGAAUAGGGAGCGUGGGAGUUUGGGCUUUUCCAGUAGUUUCUGAGCUCUGGACUCCGGGAUGGGCAAUGAGUUCCUGGCUCGCCUCCGCCCCCUGCCUCCAGUGGGCCCAGAAGACCGCUUCCCCUUUCUGCUCCUCAAAUAAGCCUCGGCCUGGCCUCCCUGCUCGGCUUUACCCCCAAGGCCAGUGGCCGGUGAGCAAGCGCCAGUCUCCUGCUUGGACACAGUGAAUGUCCUUAAGCCUCAACAAAAUGACUAACGCGUCUUUAAAGUUUCUCUUAGAAGGGCCACCACAUUCUGAGGAAGUUCAAAGAAUAUAAAAUCGAACGUUCGGGGAGGAAAUCGGCUACAUUUUGCUCUGGUGUUUUCAGGCUGGCGAUGGGCAUUUGGCGCAUUAAUUACGCAAGACCCGCUACAUUUUAAAAGUCAUUUGAAGAUUUGGGGCAGAGAUCCAAAGUGUUGCGAGACCGACGGCCUUUCGUGUUGAAUCAAGACACCUUCCACUCACAGAAGUGCUUCUGACCUAAGUGGAAAUUGAAUUCAGGCCCAGCAGCAGGUAAGAGUGCCUGGUCCGGGGCGUGGGGAGUCUUAGGGGGUUCUUUCUCCAUGGGUUUUGAGAGCAAAGCUGCCCUUCGGAGAGCACGACGCGGUGAACGCUGAUGUGACAGACCGAGCCCGGGAGGCCACAUCACAAACACACGCCGGCCAGAAAUCCUUAUUAACGUCACUGAGAUCACUUCAAAUUUAUGGUAUCGACAGCGAUGCGAAUAAUGAUUGCACAAGGGCCGUAAUGACAGGACCCGGCAAAGAGGGUCUGUUUUCUUCAUCUGGAUUUUUAUUUUCUGUAAUACGUGAGAAAACCGAAUCGAGGGAUGGGCUUUCGUGGUUGCCGGGAAACAGGUGUUUACGUUGUGAAGAUAAGUGUUUGUCAAAUAUCAGUCAUUUCAACCACCCUUUGGGCAUCUUCCGCUCCGCAGAGGUACCCUCUGAUAAUGGCCCGCUGAUCUGCCAGCAACAUCACGCAGAGAAGUUUCUGGCGAGGGUUCCUUUCUGUCGCAUAUAGAUGUCCAGGCCUCUGUCAACUCUGCACCAGCCAAAGCCCUGAAACGAUUCGGGGGAAGUCAAUAUUCCAAGAAAGGCUUUUCCUCAGAAGAAAACCCGGUUUCACACCUGGGUUGAGGAUCUCUGUCAGGACGAGCCCUCUCGGUCUUUCCACCGAGAGGGAGCCGUUUGCCAGAAAAAGCGAAUUAACUGCGUUAAGCUUCGAAAAGGAAAAUGAAGUGGGCUUUAGCAUUUUUUCAACCUGUUUUCUGUUACCUGGUAACACCUUUUAAGGGAAGUUGAAAACACUGUAGUUCUUCAAAACCUAAGCAGAAAAUUGGGGUGGAAACUAUCUUCAGCCAUGGAACAACUGCUGUCUCAGAAAGUCUCUAACGUCCAUAAUUCUAUUGAGUAAAUGCCGAGAAACACCCAGCAAUUGUCAAGAUUAACCGGUAAGUCAAUCCUGUUUGGAAAAAUCACUGAAACGCCUAUUGCCAGGCAUCUGACCCUCUCCUACCCAAUGUGUUGCUGAUGUGGGGUUGUCCACACGGCCUUGGGGUCCCCAAACCUUAAGUCAAAUAGGACCACAAGCUGAUUAGCGCCCAGCAGGAUGCACACCAGUGACAGGAAAGUGACAAUCUGUACAGAAUUCACUUACGCUUCGCGAGAACAGAGACUGAGAGGCGUGCCCUGACCACUGGGCAGGAAAGACAGGGAUCAUGUCCCCACUAGCCUCAGAUGUCAACUACGAUCAGCUUCUAGUUUCCAAAGUAACAAAAUAAAUGAUUAAUUAACACUUAGAUGUCACCAUGUACUUUUCGCAUUUAGAAAUCUGCGUAGCUUGCCGAUCCGAAAAAACGUGAUGGACGUCUUUAAAUGGAAAUGUCCAGGUACCGCCUUCUCAAAUAUUUAUAGUCUUCCAAGCUUUUCAUGUCCCUUAGAGACUGAUCAGCGGUCCUUUAACCAGCAUCAAAUACAUCAUGAGAAAAGAAAUAAAAACAAAAGACGCAAAUGAGACCGAGAAAAGCAGAACUUAGAAGCUGUCUGUCUGAUUCUCGGACGGUUGCCUAGGCAGUUUUAUUAUUUUAGAAACCAUACGAAAGAACUGUGUAUUAGUUAACUUAUUCAUUCUGGAGAGAAACUGCCCCAGCCAGUGGCUGUCUCACGGCGUCAGGGAAAGCCGGGUCAUCAUUCCCCGCACAGGACGGCGGGGAGCAGGGUGUCCGCGCAGAGCCGGGGGCUUCUCCUGGGGUCCUCACCGGUGGGCUCUCGGUGCCUCUCUCGGCUGCUUUAUUCACCAAGAAGAGCGCGAUGUGGGGUCGAGGCAGUGAUGUUGUCCCAGUAGGAGCACGAAACCUUCCACAUUUCCACCGCCCAGAGCUCUGCGUGGGCUGGCUCGGAGCCGAAAGCCGAGUGGCCCCGCAGGGUGACGUGUCUGCGGAGGGACAGCGCGCCUGCCCCCGGAGCGCGUGUGUGCACCUGCAGCCUAACUGUGGGCGGCGACGGGGAGCCCUGCCCCGCCCGGCACCCUGGCACCAGGAUGGUGUGUUCGGCUGGAGUCCUAGCCUCACCUAGCCGGACUUUCCCCGGGCCGGCUGCCCACUGCAUCACCAUAGCAAUGGACAAACACGGUGAGAGUCUGCAGGCCCCGCAGCUGCGGAAACCCUGCCCUCCUGGCCGCCCCGCGGGAGGGGCCGGGCUAAUUUCCAUGCGGUGUUUGGGGAUGUUGGGAUUCAGAGAUCAAAGAAGGUCAAAAGGGGGCCGUUGGAAUGGCAGAUAUUUAUUGUGUUUAAUAUAAAUACAAACGUGUCCAAGAAGAGAAACUGAAACCUUAACAGGCCUGUGGAUGGCGUUUGGUAAACAGAAAAGAACACAUCUUGAAAGCAGGCGGCUGGUGAAAUUGACUGGCACUGCAGAAGCGGUCGCGAUUUAAACUGGGACAGUUUAAGGCAGCAACAAUCUUCACCGACAUCGAACAGACACAUCAGUUGAAAACCUUGAGGAAGACGUCUAGCUGCACUUUAGAAACGCUUUGGGAAACCUUCUGGCCACAAAUGCAAACACAGCCCAGCGCACUUUAGAAAUUUCUGGUCGCCCUCCUUAGCUGCGCUCGUUGUAGUAUUAAGAGUGUUUGUUUCAUACCAUUAACUGUGCAGUCAAGUUGGAGCCCGUUAAACAGCAUUAAUUUGACAAAUUGUGGGAUGGGGGUGUGAGUGCUGGCUGGAGAAAGGGGCUUUGUGUUUCGGGGUCUCCAUUAGUGAAACAAUAAAUAAGGCUAUGGUAAAACUGAUAUGAUGGGAAAUGACUUCUAUUCAGUUAACUCAAUUAUUAGUGCUAAUUGGGGCCAGGUGAAGCAUGGAUAAUUGAAAUUCACAGAUAAUCCAAAAACCUCUAUUUAACCAAUAACUUCAAACUUCUUCCCCAUCAAACCAAUUACCAGAGGAGCUAACAAGUAGAAAAAAUGGAUUAAAUUGAAUUUUGCCUCCCCGAAGAUUACCACUAUGAUGUCUCUCUAUUGAUUAAUCCACAACAAGAGCCAAGGGUUGACUGCAUUCAAGAGACUAAAUUACAGACAGUCCCCAACAAUUGAAAAGGAAAAGGCUACGUCCCAAAGUUGAUGACUCCACUACCUGAAGCUCAGAAUGCUUUUUCGCGGAGCACCAUAUUCCUCAGGGGCUCUGAGGCAGCCCCGAGGGGCCAACUGGUGACCUAGUGACACUGGAAAUAUAUUUAGCAUCCUAACUCCUUUAAUGAAUCCCCUCUGAAUCCUAAAGCCUUAUCCUCCAGCCCCUAAAUCUCUCUGAGCCCUAAAUCUAAGGGUUUUUUUUUAGUUGCGGUAAAUUCACAUAAGGUUAACAACCAUUGUGAGUUGAGUGUGCACGUCAGCGACAUCUAGAACAUUCACGAGGCUGUGCGACCACCCGCCUCUAUCAACUGUCUCAACAUUUUCAUCGCCCCCGAGAGAAACCCCUUUGGGACCCUCAGCAGCCACUGCCCGUUGUCCCCUCCCACCAGCCCCUGGCGACCACAGAUGGACUCACUGGAGCUGUGGGUUCCCCUGUUCUGGACAUUCCAUGUCAAUGGAAUCACGCAACAUGUGGUCUUUCGUGUCUGGCUUCUUUCACUGACAUAAUCUAUUUAAGGUUCAUCCGUGUGAUCGCAUGUGUGAGGACGUUGUUCCCUUUUAUCGCCAAAUGACUCUCCGUGGUCUGGACGGACCACACGUUCUUGACCCACCUGUCAGCUGAUGGACGCUUGGGUUGUCUCCAUCUCACGGCCACGUGCAACCGUCACCCCUAAGGUUGCACCCUGACAUGCCCUGCCCUCGGAGGAAAUGGGAAGUGGAGGGGGAAGGGUGGGCAGAAGCUUGGGAAGCAGGGGGGGGCUCUGUGGCGGAGCAUGGGGAGGCUCCUCCCAUGCGCCGGGCCGCGGCACUCCCAGGCGCUGGCAUCUGGGGCGGGCAGCGUCCCUCCCACAGGGCUGCCGUUGGCAGGGACAUUCCGCUAGAAGCAUCGACAGUGAGGGAUAAUUGGAGACAGCGUCAACCAUGGUGGAGAACACAGGGAGACAUGGAACCCGUCAGAGAGGGGCACGAGGGAGGCCGGAGGAGGCCCGCUGGGGGCAGGUACCUCCUUCAGAUUCGGGUGUCGCUGGUUCCCAAGACGGAGAGCAGAACUGGACUGACCCAGCGAGAAAUCUGGCAAGUCUCGUUGGCCUGUUCUCCGCUUUUCUGAAAACACAGGCGCCAGGAGAGGUUUCCAUAGCAGCUUCCAAAUCGGACACCAAACUUCACUCAGCAGGACAUCGAUAGUUUUCCAUUUCUCCUUUUCCACGUUUCGUCACUUUUCUUGGCGUCCUACAGUUUGUAAAAGGUACAGAUGGCGGCCGCCAUGCUUGCGGGCACUGAAGGACCCGGUCAAGGUAAGGACGGCCCCUGCUGGGUCUGCUCAGUCCCAGCCAGGCUGCAGGAGGAGUCGGGGGGCAGCCAAGGGGUGCCCCCAGAUGUGCGCCUGCCUUUCUCGUGCAGUGAGUCAAGUGCUGUAGAUGCCAGGGGCCCCAGCUUCCUCAUGACAGUGGCCAGGCCGGUGGGGGAGCCCCUGGUGUCCCCUCCAUUUUCUUAGUGACACAGUGGGCAGAGACCUGUCCCUCUGCCGCUGCAGGGACGCCUGUGUUUCUAAAAUGCAUGGGGCUGAGUUCCAACUCACUGCUUCCCGGAGCCUCCAGGGUUCCAGACCCCCUUCCGGUCUUACGUGCAGGUCGUCCCUGGUUCGCCCUCUGUCAGGACUGGGCGGGACAGUGCGGCGGGACACUUGGGACAAAUAGUUAGCAGGCCGAUCCGGAGGGCCUGGCUCCUGCCCUCCUCAGUUACCUGCCUUGCCGUUGGCCCACGCGGACCCUGAGCCAACCGGCCCCUUUCUGAAGCCCAAACCAGGUCCUGGGAGCCGUGGACAAGUCUGUCCCCUGGACAGACUGCAGACCCAAGCGCCGCUUCUGGGCGGCCCCAAACGGCCGCGGUCAUCCUUUGUUUCUGCUUCUUCGCCCACCUCGCUGAAUCUCCGUCAGUCUCCAGGGAAGUCUCCGUGCCUUCCCCAGUUCCACCAUCGCCCAAUGACGCGUCUGCAGGUGACACGCUGGCACGUUGUUAACAGGAACAGAGUUGACACCAACUUUUACUCUCCUCUCUCCUCCUCCGAAUCACCUGCCUUUCUCUCCCGGCCUUGAGGGGCGGCGCACCCCUCUACUGCUGAGGUCAGUCUGUCCUGGGUGCUUUUCACCAUCAUCGUCAUCUAUGGUCAGGUCAUUUCCUACCCACUCAGUUUUUAUUCUUCUCUUGGUCGACACGCGUGUCCACAUUCUUCCAGCUGGAAAACCGGCCACAAGGACCGGGGAGGGUGUCCCAAAGCCCCUGAGCGCCCGGCGCCUCCUUACCCCGCGAUCCGGCUGUGGAGACCGCACUACCGCGUGAACCGUGUGGCGGACGGACGGCAGGUGCUAAGGAGGAGGUUCACGCAGGAAGUGUGCGUGGGUGCGCGGGACGCCCCUCAGAACACACGCGCGUGCACCCCGAAGAUGACACCCAGGCCGCUGACCCAGGAGCAGCUUCUACUGCCUUCCUUGUGUCCUCGUCCGUUUCCCGUACUUUCCGUGAGCAACACAUGAACACACGGCGACUUUUAGCGAGCACUGAGCUAAGAGCUGUAGUACCCUGGCUCACUUAACUUUUCCAGCUGCUCUGAGGAUUUGUCCCCUUACGACCCCUGUCUUAUAGACAAGGGAGCUGAUGCUUUGAGUGCCCGAGAGGCCUCCGGAGCCGACCGCCCCCCCCCCCCCACAGUGCUCUCACACCUGUGGCUGUGAAGCCGGAGCGGGUCCCAUGGCCAGGGCUGGCGGGACGUACACCCGGAAGAAUUGAAGGAGACGGGAUGGGCGGCAACAGAAGGUGGGCUGAAGAGCCCUGAGCGGGGAGAGCCCUCACACGGACCGUCACUGGAAGUGGGCGGCGUCUAGGGGGCCUUCGUAAGCUUGUGGGGCAGGUCCUUCCAGGCGAGGCGACUCUGGGAGGCAUCCUCAGCUGUAGGCUGUCACCACCCUGGAGGGGCUUCAGUUCCGAGGGGGAUCUGGAUGGCCCGCUGUGUGCCCACGACAAAUACCCACGGACUCUCGAGGGCACAUUCAAAUCUCACUUCCCCCAGGGAGCGUUCCUCGAUUACCCUGAUCAGGAUGGGCCCUAACGACCCCACAAAAAUACCUUGUGCCCGCUGUGUGAUCACCUUCUCCUUUCCCUCCGUCGGGCCCUGGUGAUCUCCAAUCUGUCUUCUCUCUUGGACAUCGCCUACAAGAAGAACCACGGAAAUGUGUUUCUUUACAAAAGGGUCAGUUGAGGAAAACUCUCACUUACUCUCGUCCUUCUGAUGAAAUUUUCCAGUUCACAGUCCGCUGCACCCGCACCAGAAUGCCGUACGCUUAUUAGCGCGUCGAGUACCUUGAGGCUAUGAUUAGGCACCUGCACCCCGUUUCUUAAAACCUCUGCCUUCAAAAGUUAUGGGCAGAAGACAGAGGACCUGCUUCUGUGGCUGAGCUACAUGACCCACUGUGACCCUGGGCCUUGAGAGAAUCUGCACCCAUGAAUCGGGGAUGCGGUUGGUGUUUCUAGAAGGUCACAGGACAUGGUUGUUCUUCAAGAUUUGGAGGGGGGGCAGGAAUCACUCUGAGUCUCGUGGGGGGUCCUGGCUCUUCUGACCACUUGUGCUGGGGGGUGCUGGCCCGUGGGGCAACCGGCUGAAACCACAGCAGCCUGGAGACCGAGGUCCAAGCAGGGGGACAGCAGAGGCUGUCCGAGGAGGAAGGGCCUCUCGUGUGCUGCUAGACCUGGCUGUCGUGGGGCGAGGGCCACGACGUCAGGCCUGUAGCAGGCCAGCUGGCAGAGGUCCCCAACUGCCGCCCGAGUCUUACCUCGUUCUGGUCUGGGGGACACUGCUUGUCGUGGCCUGACGUGUUUGGAUCUGUCAAGAGGGAACCUUUUUUCUCACAAGACACAAGAACAAAGCGUGGGAUUAGUUUUAUGUGAACUUGGAUGUUCCCAUUUAGCUGAUAGGAAAAGCAUGGUGUAGUGGCUAGAAACAGUGCUGGCUCGCCCGCUCGGCACCUGUUAGUAGCCCUGAUGGGCCUCAGUCUCUCCAUCUGAACACAGGGACGACGAGGGUGCCGAGGCACCCAGGUCCACGAGCCUGGUGUGGGGCUUAAGCCAGAUAAUGUUUUUAAGGCACUCGGGACAAUGCCCAGCACAACGUAAGUGCUACAGACAAGUUCCGUGCAAUAAGCCCGUUCAAAAAUACACACCAAAGUGCGUUGACAGGUGUCAGGAAAGGGGGCAGCGACUUGACCUGCCGUGGGGAGAAGAUCAUCUCCUCCCGCGCCCUCAGCGUAUUCCCUUGUAAACCGGGCGUGAAGCACGCGUGUGUGUUCGUGGGCGUCCCUCCGGGGGUUGUGGCGCUCCGAUCGUGGGCGCCCACCGGCCACUCACCCUGGAAAAAGUCGGCCAAGGAGGUCAGCAGACUACGGGAAGGAGGACCUCAGGAAACAGUGUGUUUUCUGAGGCUCGUGGGUCAAACACAACUGGCCCUCGUUUGCUGGUUUCCGUCAGCGACUGUCUUCCGCGGAGCCGACAGGCAACCUGACAGGUGCAAGAGGAGGUCUGUGUCCAGAACAAGACAACCUCAGGUCACUUCACGCCCCUCCUGGGAAGGCGUUCGCCCGCACGUGGGGGCCCAGUGGUACCAGGAUCGGCCCUUCCCCGGGGCACGGCCGCCUCCUCUCAGCCACGGUGACCACAUUGUAGAGAGAGCAGGGCACGCAUGUAUGACACUGGCCAACGCACGGAUCCCAAGUGACUGUCCCAGAGGUGCCUCUGUUUACCGGUGAAUCAUCUCUGCUGAAGCCGCUGAGAAUUCACGUCCGAGGGAAGAAAGCCGUCCAGUCCCAGCUAAUUCGUGGAACGCUACUUGACGGAAUUUGCUUAUAAUAUUAACGAUUCCUGGGGCGCCUGGGGGGCUCCAUCAGUUAAGCGCCCGAUUCUUGACCUCGGCUCAGGUCAUGAUCUCGAGGUUCAUGAGAUCGAGCCCCGUGUCGGGCUCUGUUCUAACAGCGUAGAGCCUGCUUGGGAUUCUCGUUCUCUCCCUCUCUGUCUGCCUCUCCCUCUCUCAGAAUAAAUAAAGCACAAAAAAUAAUUUCGAAUAUCUCCCAGGAAAAUACAGCAUUUAGGAACUUUGUAAGUCUGCACGAAGGCAACGUUAGAAUUUCACACAGAGCACCCCGAAAUGAGGUGCUGGGACAGGGAGCGAGACCAGUGUCAUCGCACAGGCUGUGGCUAUCGGUUUUGAUUGCUGGUUCAGCUUCCCGAGGGUCCGGACCGUGAGGCAGUCGGGGCGGCAGGUCUGAUGGGCAUUAGAGACGGGACGGUCUAGCACGGUUACCCUGUAA